UUUUUCUUUUUUUUCUUUUUUACUUUUUAGGGCUGCACCUGCUGCCUAUGGAGGUUCCCAGGCUAGAGGUUGAAUCAGAGGUAUAGUUGCUGGCCUACACCACAGCCAUAGCCACGCCAGAUCCGAGCCAUGUCAUACCACAGCUCACAGCAAUUCUGGGCCAUGCUGUUUCAGGCUGAACACAGCAAAGACCUCAUUGCACACAAAAUAAAAGGCCAGUCUCAUUUUCCUGUUGAGUAGACUUGAGAUACCCAGAGAGCUGUCCAGGAGGUUCAGGAGCAGGGCUAGUAAUCAAUUGCCUAAAACUACAAACAAGAUCUCGUUGUCUAUGACUAAGUGGAGGAACUCAGAAAGAGUGAAGAAUCUGAAUGAUAGACCACAGCCUUACUGCCUUUGGAUAUGUACAGGAAAAUGGAGUAGGCUGAUAAAAUAUUAUCUGAAAGAGAUCAUUGAGGAAGUUCCCAUUGUGGCUCAAUGGAGAUGAAUCCAACCAGUAUCCCUAAGGAUGUGGGUUCCAUCCCUGGCUUUGCUCAGUGGGUUAAGGAUCUGGUGUUGCCAUGACCUGUGGUGUAGGUCUCAGAUGUGGCUUAGAUCUGGCCUGGCUGUGGAUGUGGUGUAGACUGGCAGCUAUAGCUCCGAUUCGACCCCUAGCCUGGGAACUUCCAUAUGCCUCGAGCACAGCCUUAAAAAAAGAGAUUGUUGGGGGAAGCCUUUUUCAUUAGUUGAUAAUACUGUGUAAUUGUCAUCUCAGUUAUAAGUAAAAGGAGGCCUCCUACUUUAGGAUGAUUCUAGACAGUUCUCUGGUAUAAAAACAUUACACUGGCACUGCUUUCACGCUAUUAAUUAGAUGUGCAGAUGUUUUUCUUCACACCACAUUCACUCAGGCUCUGUCUGAAUUUUCACAAAUGUGUAAUUAGAGGAGGUCUGAAUUAGUGAUGUUUUUCAGGACACCACAAUUGUUGGAGACAGCAGACACCCUGUUGAACGGUUAACUGGAGAGCUUGAACACGUAUCUCUGAGAAAAGAUUUCAUUUGAGUGUCUCUUCCCGCAGCAAAGUUUGUCUCUCCGAUCAUGGAAUUGUUAAUCGUAUACAUUUGUUAAGCUAAUGAACAGAUAACUCGAGGGAAGUCUGAAGUUUCUUUCCCUCUUUUUCCCUCUUCACACAUAGCUCAGUUCAGUCACCACCAGCACUCAAUUUCAUGCAGAGUUCACAGCCAUCACAAGAGCUAGUGCAGUUUUAGGUUAAGCAUAUUUUACCCAUAAAUUGCUGUAUUUGGUUCUCGAGUUAUUAUUGCAGUUCCUUGGGGUACAUUUAAAUCCACCUUAUUGUAAUAGAUUAUGGAAUAUAGUGGCUAAUGUGUCUAAUGUAAAAUAAAUGACUAUAAUGAUUUAUGAUGCGACACUUCAAUUUUAUUGAACAUAAGGAUCAUUGUACUGAAAUGGAUGGUGUAUUGCUGGUUUAGCAUAAAAUACUGAAUAACAUAUUCAGGAAAAUGAAUGGCUCGGCCAGUUCAUAAUAUUCUGCCCCUUCAGCUGAGAGGUCUUUAAUAAGCAAGAGUGUCAUUACACUUGAAAAUGUAUGUAUAGGUAAUCCAUUAUCUAGAACAAUGACAGGGAUCUGCUCAAGUCCUUUUAAAGAAGGAGCUCUUUAGAAGAAAAUUCUCUGAUCUUCCCAAAAGGGUGAUUUCCAUGUCAGCACACAGCACUUACAAAAGCGCUUAGCAGAAUUGCAAGUGGCCCCCACGUUUAAGCGUUAUCACCUUGAGACUCCCAUGACCUAAUAGGGGGAUUUCAGGAAGAUUUUGAUUCUUUUGGCCCUGUCCUCAGACAAUAUCCUUGAUGUCCUUUUCUCUCUGUGUUCAUUCACCAACAUUUUAACUCUUGCAGUGCCCAGCACUUAGCAUAAUGCAUGAUGUGUCUUUCCUCUGCACUUGUGUUUGUGUUUGAUUACCUAGUAACAAAGCAGAAUUAAGAAGAUCUGAUUUAGGGAGUUCCAUGGUUGCUCAGCAGGGUAAGGAUCCAGCCUUGUCACUUCUGUGGUGUGGGUUCAAUCCCUGGCCCAGGAACUUCUGCAUGCCAUAGAUGAAGCCCAAAAAAAAAAAAAAAAAAAAAAAAAAAUCCAAUUUAGCUGUUAAUUUUUAUCAACUACAAUAUUAAAGAUGGUUUCCAGUGAUAUAUUGGGUCAAUAUGUUUGUGUUCUCAGGCCUGGGAGAUGAAAGGAAAUUCUUCUGUGACAGAUGGCAGGUUUAUAUUAAUGGUACAGCUCUAUCUUCCAAAAAGUGGGGGGACAGGAGGAAUAAGGGAAUUGUUUUCUGACCCUCUCACCCUUGCCAUCCUGUAAGGCUGCCAUUACAGCCCACGAUCCUCCUGGGAUGCAGGUUGAUGACAGAGGCAAUUCCCACCUAAUAACUAAAUCCUCAUGGAGUUAUCUUAACAGCAUACAUCUCAUUCAUGGGAAGGGUAGCUAGUUUGUCUCCUUUGGUGUGGCCAUGCUGUCCUCAGGGGAGAGGAAACCAGGGUAUUUUGAACCCAGCUGCUGUAUACAUGGCAGUUUAGAUUCCCUUCUCUUCCAUAGCAGAUUUCACUGCUGCCCGAGAAGGCCUGGGUCGUGAUGAGAAAGUAAUUUGACGACCAAGUGAACACUGUGUUUGUGGAGUUAAGGAGUUUCACAUUCCAGAACAGAAAAAUAAUGUUGACAAUAGAUUCUGUACUGUGUGGAUUUCAGACAUUUAUUUAUUCAGGAUACACUCUUGGGCCAUUUUUUUUGGUAUUAUUAUUGUUUUGAAAAGGUGACAUAGCUUGGAACCAUUCAGUGCAGAAAGUAACUAGAGAUAUCCUGAUAACCUAACUUAAUUGGGGAGGUCACAGGCUUGUUGUAUAUCAGUCUAUUUCUGGAACAGUGUGGAUAUUUUCUCUGUAAUCAGCAACCCAAAAUGAAAGUGAUAAGGCCCAUCUUUUUGCUAAUGGUAUGUUGCCUUUGGAUCUCUUGAUACAUCAAUCUGGAGAAGACCAAGGCAAGGGCUCUGGGAUGCCUCUGACCCCCCAAGGUCCUCUGACCUUUAGAACCUGCCCACCCCCAGUUCCCAAACUUAAGGAUUCCUUUCCAUAAUAAAUUUUACACAGUCAUCCAAGAUAGUCAGGAUGUUUCUAUAAAGAACAUUAGGGCAUGUUCUUUGUUCUUCAUGACUUCACUAUUUUCCCUCCGAAUGUUGCAGUAAAUUUAAAUGGGUCCUAAGGUCUUACCACUGCCCCACGAGACCUUGUUUUCUCUGCAUUAUGCUCUCACACCAGCUUCAGCUUGAGUCUCUCUCUGAUCACCUCUGGAAACUGAUCCCCACAGUGUUAGGACGACAGAAGAGCUUCCCAGGACCCAAACAAUCUAUAACUUGGCCAUUGCAUGGCCUUCUUGCUCUGACUCCAUGACUCGCUUACCAACCCCACCCAGUGUCCUGACAUCUUUUCCCUUCUGCCAUCUCCUUGCUCUGUGCUACCUGCACAUCCCUGUGUUCUACAUUCUUCACCAUGUCAAAUAGCUACUUGAUUUCCUCUAAAUUCUCAUCUUACUUCUAACACCAAAGUAAUAUUUAGAAUCCAGGCUUCAAUGUAUGUGGGUCCAUGGGUAGAAUUUCGAGGUGUUAAUACGUUUCUCAAAAAAAAAAGUGCUCAAGGGGCUUUUUCCAAAGCUAGGAUUCACGUACAUCAUUUGACCAGAGGUAUCAGUUGGCUUCUUUCCCAGGGAAUUCAUCCAACUAUUUCUUCUUUCAAUCUUAAAGCAUAUAGUUAAGUCCCAGGUAAAGCCUCAGUGUUCAUCACUUCAUCCCUUCAAAACACUUUGAUUUACAGAACAGAGACUUGUACCUGGGAAGUUUUGAGGUAUUCGCCAACAUCGAUAUUUUAAAGUAUUUUUUUCUAUAUAUCCUCCUUCAAAUUAUAAGCCAUAUAAGCCCAUCAAAGGAGCUUCAGAUUUCUCUCUGAGAGCCUUGUUUUUCUGUCUUUGGGGAAAUCGGCCUCAAUUUAACAGGUGGACCUCCUGUGCUGUGCACAGUGGGCCAGGACAAGUUGGGAAAUCACCAAGUUGAUUGAGACUGAUUAUACCUGAAUUAAACAGUGCCAAUGCCAUGUUUGAAGGUAUGUGUGUCACAUUGAGACUGAAGACUUGACUAAAAUGACCUUGAAACAUCUGGGGAAAAGCCAUAGGUUUAUUUGCAUAGGGCAGUAAGGUUUCCGCGAGCCAGAGGUAACUGAAUAUUUGCAUUGCCUAUCUUUUUUUUUUUCUACCCCAAAAGUUAAAAUAUCUAGAGAUAAACUCAACAGAGACAAAUAAAGAAAAAUUUUUAAUUCUACCAUCAGCCACAGUGGUUCUUGAAGAACUGCAAAAUACCUUGUUCUUAGGUAGGAGAGUCCAGUGUUAUAAAGCUGUAACCUCUCCUCAGAAUGAGCUGUAAGUUCAAUGUGAUGUCUCCCAAAUGAAAAAAGAUGUUUGGGGAAUUUAUAGAGGCAGGCAAUCGAGGAUGGAUGCUGACUUGAUGUAAAGGUUCUUAAGUCCAUCUGGAAAAGUUAAAAAAAUGAUAAUAAAGGGGUAAUAGUAUAAAAAGAGGCAAAAAAAGAGAGAACUUCCUUUACAUAAUAAAAUGCCUUAUAAGCAAUAGCAAUGAAAACAGUGAGUUACUGGUGCAGGAUGAGCAAGAUGAGUGGAGCAGCACUUCAUCAAGAGGGUGUCCCCAGUACAGAAGGAAAGUGAGCAGGUGAAUAACCUUCGAAUGAAAGGUGGAAAUGUUUACUGUUUAGUAAAUGAUGGGUGAGAAAACAAAGCCAGCUUCAUACUUCACUUCUUCUACCAAAAAGAAAAAAAAAAAUUCUGACAACCCAUAGAGGGAUAAAUGAUUGUAACGGGGAAGAAAAAAGUUAAUACCACAAAGUUGUAAAAGAAAUCUUAGCUCGUAUUUUAUGCUAAAGAAGGGAAGACCUUUCUAAGAGUGACACAAAAGCCAAGAUAUCUUAUAAUGUAAGAUAUUGAUAUAUCUGAUU
rnacentral:lncRNA from 1 species